UACAGAGGGGGCAAGCGUUGUUCGGAAUUACUGGGCGUAAAGGGCGCGUAGGCGGCCUGCUAAGUCGAACGUGAAAUCCCUGGGCUCAACCCAGGAACUGCGUCCGAUACUGGUUGGCUUGAAUCCGGGAGAGGGACGUGGAAUUCCAGGUGUAGCGGUGAAAUGCGUAGAUAUCUGGAGGAACACCGGUGGCGAAGGCGACGUCCUGGACCGGUAUUGACGCUGAGGCGCGAAAGCUGGGGGAGCGAACAGG
rnacentral:rRNA from 1 species